GACGAACGCUGGCGGCGUGCUUAACACAUGCAAGUCGAACGGAAAGGCCCUGCUUUUGUGGGGUGCUCGAGUGGCGAACGGGUGAGUAACACGUGAGUAACCUGUCCUUGACUUUGGGAUAACUUCAGGAAACUGGGGCUAAUACCGGAUAGGAGCUCCUGCUGCAUGGUGGGGGUUGGAAAGUUUCGGCGGUUGGGGAUGGACUCGCGGCUUAUCAGCUUGUUGGUGGGGUAGUGGCUUACCAAGGCUUUGACGGGCAGCCGGCCUGAGAGGGUGACCGGCCACAUUGGGACUGAGAUACGGCCCAGACUCCUACGGGAGGCAGCAGUGGGGAAUAUUGCACAAUGGGCGGAAGCCUGAUGCAGCAACGCCGCGUGCGGAAUGACGACCUUCGGGUUGUAAACCGCUUUCGCCUGUGACGAAGCGUGAGUGACGGUAAUGGGUAAAGAAGCACCGGCUAACUACGUG
rnacentral:rRNA from 1 species